rnacentral:rRNA from 1 species
CUUUCAACAACGGAUCUCUUGGUUCUGGCAUCGAUGAAGAACGCAGCGAAAUGCGAUAAGUAAUGUGAAUUGCAGAAUUCAGUGAAUCAUCGAAUCUUUGAACGCACAUUGCGCCCCUUGGUAUU